rnacentral:tRNA from 1 species
GUCUGCGUAGCUCAGCUGGCAGAGCGGCCCCACUUGAGGGUGUGCAGGGGUUCAACCGCCCUCGUAGGCA